rnacentral:rRNA from 1 species
UACGGAGGGGGCAAGCGUUGUUCGGAAUUACUGGGCGUAAAGGGCGCGUAGGCGGCCUUCUAAGUCGAACGUGAAAUCCCUGGGCUCAACCCAGGAACUGCGUCCGAUACUGGGAGGCUUGAAUCCGGGAGAGGGAUGUGGAAUUCCAGGUGUAGCGGUGAAAUGCGCAGAUAUCGGGAAGAACACCCGUGGCGAAGGCGGCUCUCUGGGACGGUACUGACGCUGAGACGCGAAAGCGUGGGGAGCGAACAGG